CACAUCUUCUCUCCCUCCCUGGUGCUCAUGCUUCUCUCCAGCGGGAGACCUGGACCAAUGAUGCCUGUGCAGAAGCCUGCUUGCGAGCUGGUAGAGAAAGGUUUUGGAAAUCCAUUGGCUGCUCUGGACACUUCCACAGCGGGUGUUUGGAAAGAGGCACUUCUGAGCCACUGUGAUAGAAGCUCCGUGGAAUACCGAAUGUGGAUUACAGAGCCCAGGGGUCCACCAGAUGGGAGAUAAAUAUCUGAAACUCCCAACUCCAUGGAAACAGCCAAAGCUCUUCAAGGUGAUUUUGUACAUACACACACAAAGGAAAGAAAGUGGAGUGCACAUGAGGCCCCUGCAGCCGCUCAUCCUCUUCCACGCUUUUGGAAAUGCCAGUACAGAAAGGAGACAGAAACAACAACAGGGAGAAGGGAAAGGGAGAAUCUGAUGUGGCAAAAGUCUGCACAAAGCCUGCUUUUGAGUCCUUCUGUAUCCUCUGGCUCCCAGGCUGUGUCACAGGAGCGAUGAUGAUGACGAUGACAAUAAUGAGAACUAACAGGGUUCCACACUUGCUACACGCUGGCUCAAGCUGGACACUGUCUGUGUGCACCACAAGCAUUUGAUUCUUGCCUGUUACAGCACAGGCCCUUUGUCACCGUUGCUGAGUUACAGGGAGGACAACUAAAGCAUGGUGAAAGCCAAAAACACGACCAACUCACAUAACUGGGAGGUGGAGGAACUAUGAAUUUCCCAGGCUGCCUCUGGAGCUUGGUAUAUAACCACUAGGCUAUUCGGCGACUAUCCUGGGCUCUGUCCCCAUGUGGAUAUCUGCAGUGGAUUUGUAGUCUGUGAACAUCUGUUAGGUAAGGUGUAUGCCACCAGAAGCUUGAAGAACUAGCAAUACAGCCAGGGAGAAGAAGGAACUGGCAGACCCAGUAUGGUAGGCAUCACAGCAAGGGUGAGACACACAGCAUUUCACUUAUCUAUCCAAGUGCUUGGCCACCCCCACUGCACAGGUGUGGUAACUGAGGCUCAGAGAAAUGAAUCACAAAGCCAAGAUCACAUUCUGUGUGGACAGAGAAGCUAAGAUUCAGAUUCAGAACUUGUAGCUCCUAAAGCCCAAGAUCUGAUCUAAUAGUCCCACAGAAGGGUAACAAAUCAUGCUAGAGUGGUUCCAGGAAGAUAGAAAAGUUGUGAUUAAAAAAAUUACAGUGAAUGUUUAAAUUUUUAAAAUUAUUACAGUAAAAGACACAUUGUCGUUAAUCUCCCUCAAAAUAAUGCACUCUCACACACUUAAAGUGCACUUACCACGUCAUUCCUGUCACUUUCUGAAGCAGUCCUGGAAGUCUCCUUUCAUGAAUGUUUCUAGUUGUGCUGUCGUGACCACCUCAGUGUCCUGAAUUACCUUAAAAUGUUUAUGUUUCAUGGUCAUUUUGACUUUGAGAGAGAGGCAGAAGGCUGAGGGCUCUAGGUCUGGUUAAGAAGGUGGGCGAGGACAUAUCAUUUUUGAGCCUGCCUUCCCCCUGCAUGGCACUGGGCAGCUUGCAUUUUUGAUCACACCUCAUAGAGACACUCACGAAAGGGGACUUCUAGAACUGCUUCAGAAAAUAGCAAGAGGGAUUAGAUAAGUUUGAAAGAAGUGGAAAUAGAGGGGGAUUAAUGACUGAAAUAGUAGUUAAAUAAUAAAUAGUUAAAAUGUAAACAUUCACCAUAAGUUUUGAUCACUCCUCAUAUGCUAGGAGAUGCUGAGACCCAAGAUCUUAUAUGUAUGAAUGUUUAUUUAGCACUCUAUGUGUCAGGUAUGCUUGAUAUAAGGCUGUUGAGAAAAACAGACACAGUGCUGACCCCAUGAAAGUUACUGUCUAGCGAAAGAUACAAAAUAUAUGUACUUAUACAGAAGAACCAUAAAGGAAACCAGGUAGUAUUGAGUGAAGGUAUAAAAGGGAUGGCUGGAGCAGAAAACAGUGAGUGAGAAAACUGUGAGAUGAGCCUGGAAGAGCGGGCAGGAGCUGGCUUUGCAGCCUGGAGGCCAUAGGUGGGUAUCUACACUCCAUUCUGAGAGAUGUAGGAAACCACUCAUGGUGAAAAAGCAGGAGAGUGACAUGUCCAGGACCACUUAAAUCAAAGACCCCUUCUGGAAAUAGGCAGAACGAGUUGUAGGGAGGCAGAUAGGAGGCCCUUCCAGGGAUUUUGACAAGGGUUGAUGGUUAUAUUGAAGAGAAGGAAAGGGCUAUGAAAUUUGUUCCUGGCACAAGUAUCUUCCCUGUCUCCAGUCAACACAAGGCAACAGCGUGGAUGAUUUAGUAUAAAUGCAUCCUUGUAGGCCGAAAGAACCAAACUUUCUGAACUAGUGCAGUAGUUCUCAAACUGGAGUAUCCCUCAAAAAUGCCUGGAGAGGCUGGGGGUUUAGCUCAGCAGUGUAAGUGCCUGCCUGGCAAGUGCAAGGUUAUGAGUUUGAUCCCUGGUACAAAAAUAAAUAAAUAAAUAAAAAUAAAAAUAACCAAAACUAAACAAAACAAAAGACACCUAUGGGGCUUGUUCUAGCCCAGAUUGCCAAAUCCCACUCCUGGAGAUUCUUGGUAGGUCUGUCUGAGAUUCAGGAACUUAUAUUUCUUUCUUUCUUUCUUUCUUUCUUUCUUUCUUUCUUUCUUUCUUUCUUUCUUUCUUUUUUUUAUCAGUACCAGGGAUCGAACUCAUAACCACCUGCUUGCAAGGCAGGUGCUUAUGCCCCUGACUAAAUCCCCAGCCCCCAAAACUUGUAUUUCUAACAAACCUCCAGGUGAGGCUAUUUUCCAGACGUGGAGAACAUGUUUUCAGUUCCAGUUAGAGGAAGGUAAAAAGUACACAAUUUGUAGCCACCUUCACUUACACCUGAAUCUAUUUGCUGAUCCUAUUUAUCUGGUUAGAAUUAGAUUACCUCUCUAACAGUCAGGAUUUUUUUUUCCAUCUGUAAAAUGGGACCAGUAAUAUCAACAUUACAAGCUUGUUAUGCAUUCACAGUAAAUCAAAUAAAAAGCCACAUCAAAGAGACCCAGUAAACAACAACCAUUGCUAUUAUUAUCAAGAAAAACUUCAUCUAGCACUUGGGCAAUAACACAUUAGAAUUUAGACUAAAAAUGAUAUCUUAAUGAAUAAGCCUGAGGCCACUACAGUGGAAAAUACUUUAUAUUGGUGACCCAGAUUUGGUAGGGCAUAUGAAAGGUUACUCUUUGUCAAGCAAGAUUUCAAAACAGACAAAAAUUGGAGACUAUUCACAGUUGUUAAAUCAGUUUGUCUACUUAUCUAUGCAUUAAGUGGGAAAUCUCUUCAUUAAUUCAUUUAUUUACAAUUUUCCAUCCAUCCAUCCAUCCCUCCAUCCAUCCAUCUAUCCAACCAUCCAACCAGCAUAUUCUCUAUUGAUUUUUUAAAACCCCUAUUGUAUGAUUUAGAAACUGUCAUGAGUAUUAGGAUAAACUGUCUUAGGCACAGGAAAUUCAAGUACCUUAAAUUAGGAAAAAACCCUCAGUUAAAUGAAUAUGACACUCAUGCCCUCUAGAAUCCAAAUUAAUUGAUGUUUCCAUGUUUCAGAAAGGUGUUCUGAUUUUCUCAGAGCUGCCCACACUAUUGAUGGGGCAGGCAGAUGACAGCUCAGAAUAUCACAUCCUCAGAUAACUAAAAAAGGACCAAAAGAAAGGUGGCUGAGUGUGGAGGAUUUGGAGCCAGACAGAUCUGAGAUAGUGUGCUGAUUGCUUGCUCUCCAGGAUGGCCUUGAACAACUAAUGCAAUUCUGCAAACCUCAAUUUUCUUUAGAAAAUGGGAAUGUUAACAGUAUCCACCUCAUCUUGGGAAUGGAGGUGUGUGGGAAACAACACACAAUCUAUAAAGAGCUUGGCCUGAUUCCUGGAAUAUAUUAGAUAGAUGCUAAACAAGUCCUAACUAUUGUCAUUAUCAGUAAAGCAAGAGACCUGAGGGUCCAUCGAGCAAUUUGCUCAGAUCAAUCUUUUCAUUAUCAGCUGAAACCAAACUUUGGAGUUUUCUCUGAGGAUAAAUGCCCGAAAAGACAUGAGAAAAAAAGCACUUUUUGCCACAAAUUUCUGUAAGGUAAAUUGGUGUUUGGUUCGAGGAACAAGGAAGAGAAAGACAUACUCAUCAUAUGAUACACAAAUGUAUAACUCAUAAUCUGCAUUUUCAAAGCAUGCUUACAUCUUUCAUUUUAUCCUGACAAAACCCUAAGGUUUAAAUAAACAAAGUUUUCUUAGUUUCAUUUGAAACAGAAACAAGCAAGCCUACAAAGGUUAAGUGUGUUGCCCAAGGUCACAUAACAAGUUAAUAGCAGAGUUAUAUCUCAUUUUUAAAAAAAACGUUUCUCCACCAUACCACACGGAAGCCAGAGUUCAAUUUAUUAGUUUCCACCCUUUUAAUCAAUUGGAAACCAGAAGACUUUGGCUGACUUCUCUGGCUUUUUAUGCUCUAAUGCCAUCACCGGAAAGAAUAUGUAUAUAUGUGUGUUUUGGCUAUCGUAAAUUAUUAAUGACCGUCUCUUUAGUGUGUCAAUUCCAUUCCUUUCUUUGAAACAUUCCUUUUGGCAUUGGAAAUAGCACUGAAAUAAAUAGUUUAUUUGCCAAUAACAUAGCUUGUUAAAUUUUAAUCAAAUAGACUAUUAUAAGGACGUAGUUACUAGGAUAUACCCCUUGGGAAUGAGAGAGAUCACUUUAGAAUUGAAUUAAUAAUGGGGCCUCUGGAAGCCAACAUGAAAUGGCCAAUGGAGUCUUGAUGUGGAUUGUUCCUAUUAGAGCUGUAAAUUAGUGGAGUUGGUCUCGCCCUGCUCCUAUUAAAAUGUUCUUGUUAAUUAUUUUUAGAAGAUAACAAGAUCACCAGAUGUGGGCAUUGUUUUGCUCCUUGCUUUCUUAUGUAAAGCAUGCAUUCUUCCCGUGAAGUUUUAAGCAGGUCAUCACAGAAUGUUAUAUACCAAUACCAUGGCACAUUUCAGUAGCACUGGCAAAAUGGUUGUGUAGAGAUUAGUAGGGCUGAUAACAUCCUGGUCCUCCUUCCAGCCACAUAGUGGGAUUUCACAUACCUCUCUCCCUUUGAUUUAGCAUGGUGCUACGACUAACAAAAGAUGAAUGGGAUUGAAUGCAUGUACUUUCUGGAUAGAAGCUUUAAAGGCAAGUGUGUGAUUCAUCACUUCCCCUUCCUCCCUUCUCUUGUAACAGCAGACACUGCAGAUGGUAGAAAUUCCUUCCGUUUGGGGCCCUUGAGGGAGGGCAACAUAGGGCAGAGUAUCUGGUCAACUCAUGAGGAGCAUAGAACAUAAGCAGGAAAAGAAAUCCUUGUUGUUUUAAAGUGCUGACAUUUGGGGAAUUCUGUUACCGUAGCCCAUCCUUACUGGCACACACAGAAUAAAUCCCCAUGCAUACAUUACUGUGAGAGUCACAUGCACUUAUAAACAUGAGCUCAAAUCUGGAACUUUUAGUUCUUCAGAGAAAAAGACUAUGGCAUGUAUAUCCUUGAACAUUUAUUAUCCAAAAGAAUGCCAAAUACUUGGUAGAUAUAAGUAGCAUCUUCUAAAUGUGUUAUGUGGAACUGUGACAGGCUGAAAUGGUGAUGGUGACAACAAUGAUAUCAAUAACCUUAUUGAUGACACCAGCAUCUAUUGAAGGAUCCCAAGAUACCUGGAACUAAGGCAAAUAGUUUGACAAGAAAUAUCUUAUUUGGUUUUUACAGUAACCCAAUAAGGUAGUGUCAGUGUUGUCUUCAUUUUGCAGAUGAAAAAGCAUAGUCAUUUGCCCAGUCCAUUAAUAAGUGGCAGAAACAGGAUUCAAUUCCAAAUACAUCUAUUUCAUAGAUUCUCAAUGGAAGUGAGGGAUUUUAGCCUUAGGGAGUGCUAAGCAAUAUUUGGAGACAAUUUGGGUUCUCACAACUGAGGAAACACAAUUGGAACAUAGAAGACAGAGAUUUUAGAAAACACCUAUAAAGGCACAAGUCAGCUCCACAGUACCUGGUCCAAAAUUCUGAGAGAGCCAAUAAUACCUGUGUAUCCUUCUCUUAAUCACCAAAAUAUACUGUCUUCAAAUGCAUUUUUUUUCCAGAAACCAGCAUCAAAUCUUCAGGAUUCCCAUUUCAACUUUCUGGAAGAUUGAUUGGAAAUAAAUAAAUGUGCUUGUGAAUUGA